rnacentral:rRNA from 1 species
GACUCUCGGCAAUGGAUAUCUCGGCUCUCGCAUAGAUGAAGAACGUAGCGAAAUGCGAUACUUGGUCUGAAUUACAGAAUCCUAUGAACCAUUGAGUCUUUGAAUGCAAGUUGUGCCCAAAGCCAUUAGGCCGAGGGCACGUCUGCCUGGGCAUCA